rnacentral:rRNA from 1 species
GACGAACGCUGGCGGCGUGCUUAACACAUGCAAGUCGAACGGGUCUGCCCUGUUUUUUGCGGGGUGGGUCAGUGGCGAACGGGUGAGUAACACGUGAGUAACCUGCCCCUCACUUCUGGAUAACCGCUUGAAAGGGUGGCUAAUACGGGGUGUUCUGGCUGUGCCGCAUGGUGUGGCUGGGAAAGAUUCACUUUUGUGGUGUUUUGGUGGGGGAUGGGCUCGCGGCCUAUCAGCUUGUUGGUGGGGUGAUGGCCUGCCAAGGCUUUGACGGGUAGCCGGCCUGAGAGGGUGGGCGGUCACACUGGGACUGAGAUACGGCCCAGACUCCUGCGGGAGGCAGCGGUGGGGGGUAUUGCACAAUGGGCGGAAGCCUGAUGCAGCGACGUCGCGUGAGGGAUGGAGGCCUUCGGGUUGUGAACCUCUUUCGCCGGUGAAGAAGGUCCUGCUCUUUGUGGUGGGGUUGACGGUAGCCGGGUUAUGAAGCGCCGGCUAACUACGUG